UCCGCAUCCGGGCCAGCAUCUGUUGUUGCCUGAGUUGUUAAUUUUAGCCAUUCUGAUCAGUGUGAAGUGAUUCUUCACUGUGGUUUUGAUUUGCAUUUCCCUGAUGAUUGGUGAUGUUGAGCAUCUU